rnacentral:rRNA from 1 species
AGUGAACGCUGGCGGUAGGCCUAACACAUGCAAGUCGAACGGCAGCACAGUAAGAGCUUGCUCUUACGGGUGGCGAGUGGCGGACGGGUGAGGAAUACAUCGGAAUCUACUUUUUCGUGGGGGAUAACGUAGGGAAACUUAUGCUAAUACCGCAUAUGACCUACGGGUGAAAGCAGGGGAUCUUCGGACCUUGCGCGAUUGAAUGAGCUGAUGUCGGAUUAGCUAGUUGGCGGGGUAAAGGCCCACCAAGGCGACGAUCCGUAGCUGGUCUGAGAGGAUGAUCAGCCACACUGGAACUGAGACACGGUCCAGACUCCUACGGGAGGCAGCAGUGGGGAAUAUUGGACAAUGGGCGCAAGCCUGAUCCAGCCAUACCGCGUGGGUGAAGAAGGCCUUCGGGUUGUAAAGCCCUUUUGUUGGGAAAGAAAAGCAGCAGAUGAAUACCUCGCUGUUCUGACGGUACCCAAAGAAUAAGCACCGGCUAACUUCGUG